UACGUAGGGCGCAAGCGUUGUCCGGAAUUAUUGGGCGUAAAGAGCUCGUAGGCGGUCUGUCGCGUCUGCCGUGAAAACCCGAGGCUUAACCUCGGGCUGGCGGUGGAUACGGGCAGACUAGAGGUAGGUAGGGGAGAAUGGAAUUCCCGGUGUAGCGGUGAAAUGCGCAGAUAUCGGGAGGAACACCGGUGGCGAAGGCGGUCUCUGGGCCUUACCUGACGCUGAGGAGCGAAAGCGUGGGAGCGAACAGG
rnacentral:rRNA from 1 species